GGCAAUGGUGGCACGUCCAGUAUUUGGAGAUUCCGAUGGCUCCAGUAUCCUGUUUACAGGAUGAACCUACCUGGAGGCACUGUAUCCACAUGACAUUCACGGGCAAGUCUGAGUU
rfam:Triticum aestivum genome assembly, contig: Triticum_aestivum_CS42_TGACv1_scaffold_194586_3AL